UAGGGAAUCUUCGGCAAUGGACGGAAGUCUGACCGAGCAACGCCGCGUGAGUGAAGAAGGUUUUCGGAUCGUAAAGCUCUGUUGUAAGAGAAGAACGAGUGUGAGAGUGGAAAGUUCACACUGUGACGGUAUCUUACCAGAAAGGGACGGCUAACUACGUGCCAGCAGCCGCGGUAAUACGUAGGUCCCGAGCGUUGUCCGGAUUUAUUGGGCGUAAAGCGAGCGCAGGCGGUUAGAUAAGUCUGAAGUUAAAGGCUGUGGCUUAACCAUAGUACGCUUUGGAAACUGUUUAACUUGAGUGCAAGAGGGGAGAGUGGAAUUCCAUGUGUAGCGGUGAAAUGCGUAGAUAUAUGGAGGAACACCGGUGGCGAAAGCGGCUCUCUGGCUUGUAACUGACGCUGAGGCUCGAAAGCGUGGGGAGCAAACAGGAUUAGAUACCCUGGUAGUCCACGCCGUAAACGAUGAGUGCUAGGUGUUAGACCCUUUCCGGGGUUUAGUGCCGUAGCUAACGCAUUAAGCACUCCGCCUGGGGAGUANNACNAGNGAAGGUUG
rnacentral:rRNA from 1 species